UAAGAUAACUAAAUCAAUAGUUGAUGUGAUUAUGUGGUGACUAAACGCACAGUUGACAGUUUUUCGAAAAGUACUGUUUGUGUUGAUUACAAGGUUAACUGUUUUUAAAAAAAAAUUAACAUACGUGAAAUUUCAGUUCUUGUCUUCUUUUAUUGAUUAUAGAAAUGCUCAACUUGAGUUUAAAAUGUUUGGUAAGAUAUAUAUAUGAUAUCUUAUGGAGUAUAUGUUUGGAAAAAGCAAAUCGUACAAAAAGAAACCAAGUUUCCUAGGAUUUCUUUUUUUUAAUCCUAGGAUUUAUUAACUUGGCCUCACGUUACAUUGGACCAAAAAUGUAAGUUCAAUGAUAAAUAAACAUAAGAUAGACAAAAAAAGUGACUAAGAUCGUGAGUGAGAUUCGAAUAAUGUUUAAAAGGUGUCCUGUGAGCCGCUAAAAUAUUUCGUAGGCUGCAACAACCAGUGGGAUUAUUAAUUUAGUAGAUCGUAGUACUUCUUUUGUGUUCAAUAUUUGGCAAUAGCAGUAGUAGUCUUAACUAAAAUAUUAGACAUAAUUAUGUCGGCGGGUAAAAAAAAGAGACAUAAUCAUGUCAAUAACACAUGUGUUUAGUACUUCUUCACUGAUAUCUUGUUUAACUGACUACACAGUCCCAAGUCACAACUAUAUAGUGACUAUAUAUCUUCAUUGCUGAAAACAAAGAUCACACGAUUGAUAUAUAGUGGCUUUAUAUUUUGGAUAUUACUAGCAAAAAAAACACUGAAGAACGUUGUUUUUUUAGUUGCAACAGUUUUGAAAAUUUAAAUGUUAUCAACGAUCGAUUUGAGCCUAAACGAUUUAAACCAAGUCAUCUUCAACAUCAUCCAUACAACAUGUACCACAUUUUUAUGAUUACUGAUAAUUUGUUUUUCACAAUACAAUAUCAUUGUCGUGGUGUAAGUUGUACACAUUAAUUUAUUAAAAAGGUCAAAUACAUUCCACAUACACACUCUAGUACUAAUUUAUGAAAUUCUAAAUUAGAACUAAAAUUGCUUUUGAUUAAGAAAUCAGCGGUGAUAGAUGCACGACAGCAUUGCAAAUCAAUUUAAUAUAUAAAUAUAUGAAUUUGUUUCGUGGCGCAUGAGCUUGUUUAAAGCCACACAUCCUAUAUGGCUCCUCUUAACUUCCAGUAGCCAACUCAAAUUAUUUCCACUCUUUAUUCUUCUUUUCUUAUGAUCAUUAGGAUUUGCCAUAUAUACAUAUAGAGAGAAAUACUUUAAUCUAUUGAACUAAACGUUAAGCGGGGUCUAUUCAAGGGGCUUCCGAAAAGGCAGGAGCCAAGAAGAAUAAAGUCAAAGUUCUAAAAAGUACUAGUAAAAGUUUAGAUUCCAUUGGUGCUCCACAAGACAUAAGGGGUGUAAUUAAGGAAGGUGCACGGUUGAAAAAAAUUAGAUGAAACUAUGAAAGCUUCUUACCCCACCUUUUAAUUAUUAAUGAUGUUAAUUGUAAUUAAUGAGAAUUUCAAUUUAAUCACAUGUGUGAUAUCAAUUUUCAAAUUUAUCCUUAAAUAAUAAUUAUUUUCAUAACUAUUUUAAAUUUGUGAUAAAAAUUAAAUUAACUCUUUUAAAUCAUAAUGAUUUUAAAAUAGUUUAUAAAAUAUUUAUAAAUGUUUAUAAACCCCAACUUCCUCGUAAAUACUAAACCGUAAACAAUAAUCACUAAACCCUAAACUUUUUAAUGGAAGACUAUUGAUAUUAAGUUUUACUCAGCGCAAUACACACUAACAAUUGAAUAUAUAUAUAUAUAUAUAUAUAUAUAUAUAUAUAUAUAACAUUUUUGAAGAUUGAAUCCAAAGAGCUUUUCACUAUGGUUCUUUCAUAUUGAAGUAUAAGUAACAAAAAGCGGUUGUAACUGUUUUUUUAAUCAAGCAAAAAUAAAUAAAUAGAAUAAUUAAUUAGAUAAUGUAAAAUUUUGAGAGAUAAAUAGUUAGGUGUUAGGUGUUAGGAUGAGCCAGAAGAAAUUAGAGGUCGUUAAUCAGUGAAUUAAACAUGGAAAUCAUUUUAAACGCUGUACAACUCAAAUCAGACACACACACACACACACACCACACACACAUAUAUAUAAAAGUUUCCUCUUGUUGUAGUGUUAAUCAUUAUGUUUUAAAACCUAAGAUCCUAAAAUAUUGUUUGGAUUCAAGGAGUUAUACAUGCAAGAUAUGUUCACAAAUCGAAAUAGAAUCAAUUGUCAUUGGCUAAAGACAAUUUAAUCAUCUACGUUAUUUCAAGCAUUUAUUAAUCAAUCACUCUUGCUGUGUUAAACAAUCUAAGAUCCGAAACUUAGCUAAUCAAGUUUUAGCAUAAAUAUCACCAAUAGAUGAAGACCUCGAAGAUAGAUCAUCAUUAUAAACAAUCUGAUUCAACGAUUCAGCAGGUUUUUUGAACCCUAAAACCUCUCUUGGACGUAUAAUUACUCAACAAGGACCUAAUGAGUCGAGAAUGACUUGAAAAUACUUCAAAAAAAAAAAACUGUUAAAUGCGCCAAAAUGCCACAUAUCAAUUAUGAGUCAUCUAUGUGAGGUAACAAAAUAAGAGAUCAAUGAAGGGCCAUAACAAAAUUAUAUGUUAAAUUACAUUUAUCUGUUAUUUUGAGAUGUUACCUAGAGUAUACAUUAUAUAUAGUUUGAUAAACUAAAAUCAAAAACAACAAAUACAAAUAAAUUAUAUUGGGUGUUUGGGUGUCCAAUCGAGGUUUUGUUUAGAUUCAAUCCGGUUUUGCUUCUUAGAGCGCAUAAAAUUUAGUCUCAUCUGGAUAUUCUUAAAGUUUGGUUCAGAUUAGGUUUGAGUUUUCUUGAGUUUUCUCGAGUUCAGCUUGGAUAUAGUAAUACAAACCUGGUUAAAACUGUUUUAAAUCCAGGUUCGGUUUGGGUCCCUUUCGUUGUUCGCGAAUCUCCUCCCUUCUUCCACUCCGUCCCGAAGAGAUAAUUCGGGUUUUUAUUAUCUAAAUACUUAUUUUUAUUGGAAAGUAGACAAUUUAGUUCACAAAUUUUAAAAUCUUAAUCAAUUUGCACUAACAAAAGCUUGGUGGCAUGACUAAGGACUGGUUAAGAGGAGAGAAAUAUAAAGGAAAAAGGAUUUGUAGCUACACGAACUAUUAGUUUGAUAAACUAAAAUCAAAAACAACAAAUACAUCUGAAGUAUUAAAAUGUGUCUCCAGCAACAUAAACUCUUUGAAAUGUAUAUAAUUAAGCAUGCAGGGUCUAAUUAGAUCUACUGAAAACUCCUUGAGGUCAAAUCGAAUUUUUGAAACUUUAACCCGCCCAAGCCCAAAUUGGAAUCCAACUAUUAAAAUAAAUCCGACGACCCACUGUGUCCCCAAGGAUAAUGGGUCAAGGAAAAUCUGAAAUUAAUAGUCAAUAUAAAUAUUUUAAAAUAUAUAUAUAAGUAUUUCAAUUAUUAAAUUCAAUAUUUGUGGUAAUAUGAUAUAUAAAAUAUAAAUAUAAUUUUUUUAAUAAAUGCUUUAAGUACACAAUUAGUUAUAAAUAAGUACUUUAUAAUCUACUCACUGAAAUAACAAGUUUAUUCUCUAUAAGGUAAUACAUAUUGUUUACAAAUGAAGAUUGUUUUCACACUUGAUUUAACUUUUUAUUAUUUUAUUAAUUUUAAGUGUGAUAGAUUAUUUUUUAUUUAAUUUAGGUGUUUUUCUUUAUGUUUUGCUUUUAAAAUUUUGUUUUUUACUUCGGUUAUAUCCGAACCAAACCGAUAUAACCCGAAUCCGAAUGAUAAAUGGUUACUUUAUGGGUUUUAAGAUGCAACUAGAUUUUGACCCGCGCUUUCAAAGCGCGGGAUUGUAUCGUUUGAAAUAUUUUAUUUUAUAAAAGUUAAAUUUUAUAACAUAUAUUUUUCUGAAAAAAUUACAUAUGAUAAGAUUUUUUUUUGUAUAUGUGUAGUAGUUGUUUUAUAUGUUUAGGAUGAUAAUUCUAAAGAUAUAAAGGUAAUAUAAUAUAUAAUCUAAUGCUAAUUUAUAAUAUAUAUAUAUAUAUAUAUAUAUAUAAUUGAGUCGGUUUUAAAGUGAAUAUAAUCUAUUCCAACUUGUGAUUUAUAUUCUAGAAUGACUUAUAUGUUUAUAUUUAUUAAUUGUAAAUUUGACAUUUUAAUAUAAUAUCAAAGGCAAAGUAUAAUAUUUUGAUAAACUCAUAAUCUAAAAUAUUGAAAUAAUUAAGGCAAAACCCAUAUACUUAAAGAUAGUUUAAUAGAUAUUAACGAAACCCAACAAAUUUGUAAAUAGAAUGGGCCACCAAAAAAUGGUUCAUUUCAUUUGUAACCCAACAAAACUGAACAUAUAUCUUUGGUCUUUUAGACGGCUCAGAUUUUAAAAAAAAAAAACAGUAAAGGCAAGAAAACAAAAGACAGAGAUCUAGAACGGUCUCUUAAUCGACAAAGGAUGAGAUGAAGAGAAAUCGUUGUCGAUGUUGAAAAUCGAAGCUGUACGACUCAGAUUUGGUAAAGACGAUAUCAGAAACUCGUAAUUUUAAGGUGAAGGAAUAUUAGAUCUGAAAUAUUAUUAAAGAGAACAGACGAACACCAUCACUUUUCACCUCUUGGAGAUGUCGAACAUCUGAAGAAACCAGGAACAUAAGAUAUCGUUUACCGCUUUGAGAGGGACAACAUGAUAAAUCUAAGCCUGAAAGAAGCUCAGGCUAAAACGCUAGCGCUUUGACCAAAUCUGAAAAUAGUAUGCUGAGGAAGGAGAUGAGGACAAAACCUUAAAUUCAUGUGCAGAUGUUUCAGUGGCUUCCUUAGUGCCAGAAUUCACAUAAAAGACAUUGGACACAGACAUAAGCAAGGCAUUAAUAAUUUCCAGAUAGGUAUUGAUUUAAUUUAGUAAAGAUAUUCAUAAAAGAUAGUGGGAAAGUAUAGAUUAUAUUGAGUUAUAUUAUUAAUGAAUACAGUGCAUGUGCAGGUCUUGCAAUAUAAUCGUUUGAGCCAUUAUUCAGUUGGAAACAGGUCUAACAUGGAAAUUCCAGAUUUUGCGCCAGAAGCCUCCCUUUACUCUCAAUGGCAUAGGGUUUGCCAGAAAAAAGAAGAUGAUUUUGGUGGGGUUUCAAUGGUAUAGGGUGUUUUAUCACGAAGAUAAUUUUGAUGGGCUGAACAUUCAUUCAUGUUUGGAUUUAAAAAAAAAGCCUAGAAUUAAUCAUAGAUGGGCUUAAAAACGAUUUGAAUAUGUUUAAAAAAUCGAAGGAUUGCGAUUGGUUUAAAAAUAGUUGUCGACAUUUAAGUUUUAAAAAGGAAAAAAAGGCAAUGGCAGAGACUUGUAAAUAACUUGAAAAGGCAGGGGUAGAAUCUUAGUAGGUAUUCUGCUUUAAUAGUAUAGAUACAAUUUUGAACCGAAUCCGAAGUGUUAAUAUCCGAACCCGAGCCGUACUAAUAAAAAUUUUGUAUGGGACCUAGGAGCAUAAACCCGAGAACCCAAAAAUCUGAAAAACCCGAUCCGAACCACGGGUACUCGAACGCCCAUGCCUAGUGGGAAUAUAAGAGUUAAAAUAUGGUUUGUGAGAUUUGAGAUUUAUGAUAAGUAGUUAAGAGAUUUAUUGGGUUUAGGAUAUUACAAUAUUCGGUUGAAGUUCAUUGAUUUGAACAAUAUUUGUUAAGUUGAUUAGAAAAUGAGGUAUUCCAGAAAAUGUGUAUAUGCGCAAGUGUGUAAAGGGGAAAAAACGUGUUCAAACUACCAAUUAGAUCUGAGAUUUCAUUAUCAUAAAUUUAAUCAAGAGGCCACUCCAAUUCCUAAGUCCGUUUGAUGAUAAAAGGUUUCCUUAAUAAUGUACGGUUCUUCCUCUGCUCAUACACUGAGAAGGUUUGGAAGGGGCUGGUGUUCAAACUAUUUCAGGGGUAUUAUUCUAACCAAUGGAAUCAGAUUCUUCAAGUGUUGUCGAAUGGUGUUCGUCAUUAUCUUAUACUUGUACUUAUCUUCAACUACUAUCAUCCUUAUCUCCUAUACGAUGAUCCAUGCAGUAUGGCAUGACAGAAAUAUCAGAAGAAUGGGAGAGCAUCCCAUGAUUUGGUCUCGACUGCUUAGCUCUAUAGACGAGCAAGUCAGAAACAAAAUAACUGCUAUUCAAAGAACUCGGGGGAAAUGGCAUGAAAACGCAAUGAGCGUGUGGUUUGGAACUCGUUGACUCAGCUUCCACUUUCCUCAUUCAAUCGUUUGUUUCAAAUCAGUUUUUUUUUCUAAUAGCUUCCAUUGUAUUUAGUUUCAUUAUACUAUUAGAUGCAUUCAUUGUAAUAACGGUUUUUUCGGAUGAAUAAAUUUAACAUUCAUUAAAAAAAAUAGUUUUUGGUCGAAAUUGUUGAAAAUUAUUGCCUAAUUGACAUCUAACUUUAUAGUGUUAUGAAACAGAAUAAGACAAGUUACGAUAAGAUCAUUGUAGUUUGUUCCUGCUCCACAGAUAUGUACUUGUAAACUAAUGUUGGUUGGUCAACCAAUUCGUUUAUAAUUGAAUUAAAAUAUGAUAACUAUGAAAACAAUAAAUUUAUUUAGUAAAGAACUCCGAGUUCGUUAGCAAUAAUCAUAGCUGAAAACGCGUUCAAAUCCUAUUUCAAAUCUAAUCAUGAAGAUUUGACAUUAAAUUGAUCUGUUUCUUUUCUCAACUAAAGAAGUCAUUUAUAUAUAUUAUCAGUUCCGGCGGCUCUUAGAUGGGGACAAUGCGACCGAAGUCUGUUUUCCGUACCUUACCAAAUAAAAAUCUUAACAAAUAUAUAUAUAUUAUCAUGUGUUUCCUAUUAAAUUUUGUAAAUACUAAAAAUACCCAAAAAUAUUUUUAAUGUAUAUAUUUUCUUUGCAUUUAAAAUAAUUUCAUUUUUUAAAAAAAAAAAUAUGAAAUUUUUAAGGGUUUUAAAUAUUUUUCCUGGUUAGGGUCUGUAUAAAUGUUAAGCCAGCCUGAAUAUUUUAACUUCUAAUCUGAUACGUACGACGAUUAGAACAUUCUUACUAGACUUUAUGUGGUAAUGAUUGAAAGAUUGUUUACAUUUACUCAUGUAUAAAACUGUAGCCUCCAUCGUUAAUCUCUCUACUUAUCAUUAUGAAAACUGAAUGAUGUUACAAAAGCUACACAAAGAUGAACUUACAAACAAUAAAGUGGUACAAAGCGUUUUGAGAUCAUUAUCAUCACCUGGGCAUGUUACCGAGUAAAGUAUUUGCAGACGGUGAGCUCUGUGCACUUAACCAAGGAUCU